UGGAAAGCAAUCAUGAAACUUUUUUCUCUUUCUUUCGUUUGGUAAAUGUUGAUUUCCUGACUGAAUCAGCAGCCCCAACCACCCAGCCUCCGCUGGCAGGUGGAUGACCGAGAGUAACCUUUGCGUAGCCCCAGUCAGCGGCAACCACUCUCCCGCCUCCUUAGCACAAAAGACAGCCGCAACGCAGAGCAGCUCAGCGCAGCCUGAAGCUCUGCAACCAGUUCUGGGGAGCAAGCUAUGCCUCUGAUCCGAGGCCCCAAUCCCACGCCGUCCUUGCCAAGAUCCGGGGAGGGAGCAGACCCGCGGAACCAGAGCUACAAUCAGAAGUACCAGUGACCCAUCCAAGGAGACAGAACAACUGAUUUCAACGUAAUUGACCACAGACUUUUGUAAGGUGCCCAUCAUGUACAAGACGCUAUGUUGGGUAAUGAAGAUAUGAGGACAAAACUUAAAUUAUUCAUGCUCUCCAGUACCUUACAUUCACCUUGCCAGAAGGAAUAGAUCAUGUAUAGAUUUUUCGUAUACCUCAACUCCCUUCUUUUCCAUCAAGCCAUACUGACUUACAUGCGGUUCUGCUCAGAGGAAAAUCCUUGUUCUAUAUCCUGCCUUCAUGUCUUUGCACUGUCCCCACACCUGGAACGUACUGCAUACUCACCUCUGUUUCUUGGAAUCCUUGAAUAUCUUCAAGACUCAGUUUAAGGACCACUUUCUACUUGGAGCCUUUUCUGAUUCCCCCAAGAUGUUAGUGCACUUCUUUCCCAAACUACCUU